CACGUAGGGCGCAAGCGUUGUCCGGAAUUAUUGGGCGUAAAGAGCUCGUAGGCGGUCUGUUGCGUCCGCUGUGAAAACUCGGGGCUUAACCCCGAGCCUGCAGUGGAUACGGGCAGACUAGAGGUAGGUAGGGGAGAAUGGAAUUCCCGGUGUAGCGGUGAAAUGCGCAGAUAUCAGGAGGAACACCGGUGGCGAAGGCGGGUCUCUGGGCCGAUACUGACGCUGAGGAGCGAAAGCGUGGGUAGCAAACAGG
rnacentral:rRNA from 1 species